rnacentral:tRNA from 1 species
GCUCGGAUGGCGGAACUGGUAGACGCGCACGUUUGAGGGGCGUGUGGGGCAACCCGUGCGAGUUCGAUUCUCGCUCCGAGCA